UGGGGUGUGGCUCAGUGGUAGAUCGCUUGCCUAGCAUGCAUGAGGUCCUGGGUGUCCUCUCCAGCACUGCUG
rnacentral:tRNA from 1 species